GAACCUGCGGAGGGAUCAUUGCUGGAACGCGCUUCGGCGCACCCAGAAACCCUUUGUGAACUUAUACCUAUUGUUGCCUCGGCGAAGGCCGGCCUCUCUUCUGAGGCCCCCCGGAAACGGGGAGCAGCCCGCCGGCGGCCAACCAAACUCUUGUUUCUUAGUGAAUCUCUGAGUAAAAAACAUAAAUGAAUCAAAACUUUCAACAACGGAUCUCUUGGUUCUGGCAUCGAUGAAGAACGCAGCGAAAUGCGAUAAGUAAUGUGAAUUGCAGAAUUCAGUGAAUCAUCGAAUCUUUGAACGCACAUUGCGCCCUCUGGUAUUCCGGAGGGCAUGCCUGUUCGAGCGUCAUUUCAACCCUCAAGCCUGGCUUGGUGUUGGGGCACUGCCUGUAAAAGGGCAGGCCCUGAAAUCUAGUGGCGAGCUCGCUAGGACCCCGAGCGUAGUAGUUAUAUCUCGUUCUGGAAGGCCCUGGCGGUGCCCUGCCGUUAAACCCCCAACUUCUGAAAUUUUGACCUCGGAUCAGGUAGGAAUACCCGCUGAACUUAAGCAUAUCAAUAA
rnacentral:rRNA from 1 species